GGCUCAAUGGCGUAGUUGGUUAUCGCAUCUGUCUAACAUAAGGUCAGAAAAAUUUUCUAAGUUUCACAGAAGGUCUCCUGUUCGAACCAGGAUUGAGUCA